CUUGCUUCUGAUGAGUGAGAAGAUAAGUCCUUGCAUUGCUGAGUAAACUUGGAUUGGGGGCAACUGUCAGUUCAGGUAGACUUUAGAUCUGCAGAGAACGUUGUACUCUUGGGGAGCUAUUUCUAAAAAUGGUGGUGACACAGGCUGUAUUUUUCUAACAGUGUCACUAGACACAGGAAAAGCUUCCAUUUCUAUUAAAAUUUACGAUAGAUUUAUGAACUAAAACUAAGAAAAAAUAAAUUAUGUAGUGAAUGAAAAUGAGUAAGAGUAGCUUUUUAAAAUUUUUUUAUUUUAAACCAAGAAUAGAUUUUUUUUUCCCCAAGAAUAGGUUUAAAUGCUACUUGUACAUGGUGGAUUUUGGGAGACCUCCAGGCAACAUUAGGUAUUAGAAAGAGACUUUGCUUGCAUGUCAACAAGAGUCUUCAUGUUGAGUUAGAUCUCAGGAGACAGGCUGUCCCGAGUAAGAAGCAUUGCAGUUUUAUUUACUUGGACAAGCUUAGGCUCAGGCAGUUGGGAAGUGCUUUGGUGCUUGACUCUCCUUUCCAUUGGUUUUAAUUUUAGGUCUUUUUCUUAAACCUGUUUAUUCUCCUUAAAAGCCAGUUAGCCAUCAUACCCUGUCUUUGUUAUUCAGAAACGCUGUACCUUUUUUUCAAAGUUGUCACUGUGUCAAGAUAAGUUAUCUCUAGCCAUUCCGUUAAGUAUACUAAGCAGAGUGGCCUUUGCCCUAGAUCCUUUAAAUUCUGGAGUUUGAAUCAUGUAUCUGACUGAGCUCGCCUAGUUCUUUGAUUGUUAGGAAAAUGAAUAUUCUAAUUUUUGCCAUUUCUGACUUGUGUUUAUAAAAUCUAAAUGUCCCCAGUGGUUUGAGCUGUUGAGAUAGUCUCCUUAAUCUGUUAUAAAGAAACAGGUACCAUUUGGAUAAUUUUGGCCAACAUGAGAAGGAGAAAAGGUUGGGUAGUUAAAAAUCUAUUUAUGUUUUCAGUUUAUAGAGUUUUGUAAAAUGUAAAACUAAGGAGGAAAAUGGAUCAUAAUCCGGAAAAAAAUUCAAAACUGCCAGUUAUACCUUUUAUGGCAGCACUCAGAAGGCAAAGACAGGAUGUCACUCUAAGUUCAAGGCCCACCUGGGCUCUGUACCAAGCUGUAGAUGCCUGGGGUCAUACAAAGAAACACUAUCUCAAAAUGAAACCAAACCAAAUAAAAUGUGGCUUUUGUUGUACAAAAAAGGACAAGAGACAGGGGCUAUGAAAGGAUCCACUUCCACAUACUUUGAGGACCUAGGGAAGGGUCAGGAAGGCCAUCCUGACAGGAUGCCAGAGGCAGCAGCCUGAGCUUUCUCCUGCUUGAAUGCAUCACCGGUACACCAGAGUUGCCAGUCUAACAGUAUUUUAAAGAGGAGUUUUGUUCUUCUGGAUUGUAGGUGGUGAUAAAAUGACACAGCAUGCUAAUCUCAUUGAGAGGACCUUUACUGUGAGAUCACUGUAAUGAGCAGUAUCCAUUUUCCUGAAAAUUGGAGGAUAGUGUUUGAAAGAACAUUGUAUCCCAGGCAGGCAUUAGAGAAUGUGCUGAGCUGGGCAGUUGUAGAGCACAUCUUUAAUCGCAGUGCUCAGGAGGCAGAGGCAGGCAGAUCUCUGCAUUCAAUGCCAGCCUAGUCUACAGAGUGAGUUCCAGGACAACCAAGGCUACACAGAGAAACCCUGUCUC
rnacentral:lncRNA from 1 species